GCCGAGCUCAGUUGCGUGGGCUUGUAACCCAAGUGGGGGCAUUAAGGUGGUGUGGAUGUUUGGUGCAGACUCUGGGCUUGGGUCUGUGGUGUGUCCUUGCUAGCCCUGCCCGUUCCAAGUUGGUAGUGGCCUGUGCGGCCCAAGUAAAAGCUCGGGCUUCACUGGACCUGAAGUGGCAGGAACGGCAUGAGGCUAGCUUCACAGAGCAGCGAUCACUGCUCGCUUCCAACGGUGGAAGGAUAACAGACCGCUACAUCACGGGCCCGACCUGGACCCCGAGGAGCCGGCAGCAAGGAUCG
rnacentral:SRP_RNA from 2 species